CAAAGAGUGCUUGCACACUUUGGAUGUCGACCGGCGCACGGGUGAGUAACGCGUAUCCAACCUGCCCUUUACUUGGGGAUAACCCGUUGAAAGACGGACUAAUACCCAAUGAUAUUCAUUGAUGACAUCUGAUUUGAAUUAAAGAUUUAUCGGUAUAGGAUGGGGAUGCGUCUGAUUAGCUUGUUGGUGAGGUAACGGCUCACCAAGGCAACGAUCAGUAGGGGUUCUGAGAGGAAGGUCCCCACAUUGGAACUGAGACACGGUCCAAACUCC
rnacentral:rRNA from 1 species